AAUGGACGCUGGCGGCAUGCCUAACACAUGCAAGUCGAACGAAGCCUUCGGGCUUAGUGGCGCACGGGUGCGUAACGCGUGGGAAUCUGCCCUUGGGUUCGGAAUAACAGCGAGAAAUUGCUGCUAAUACCGGAUGAUGACGUAAGUCCAAAGAUUUAUCGCCCAAGGAUGAGCCCGCGUAGGAUUAGCUAGUUGGUGAGGUAAAGGCUCACCAAGGCGACGACCUUAGCUGGUCUGAGAGGAUGAUCAGCCACACUGGGACUGAGACACGGCCCAGACUCCUACGGGAGGCAGCAGUGGGGAAUAUUGGACAAUGGGCGAAAGCCUGAUCCAGCAAUGCCGCGUGAGUGAUGAAGGCCUUAGGGUUGUAAAGCUCUUUCAGCGGGGAAGAUAAUGACGUACCGCAGAAGAAGCCCCGGCUAACUUCGUGCCAGCCGCCGCAGUAAC
rnacentral:rRNA from 1 species